CAGUAGCCGCGGGAAUACAGAGGGUGCGAGCGUUAAUCGGAUUUACUGGGCGUAAAGCGUGCGUAGGCGGCUUUUUAAGUCGGAUGUGAAAUCCCUGAGCUUAACUUAGGAAUUGCAUUCGAUACUGGGAAGCUAGAGUAUGGGAGAGGAUGGUAGAAUUCCAGGUGUAGCGGUGAAAUGCGUAGAGAUCUGGAGGAAUACCGAUGGCGAAGGCAGCCAUCUGGCCUAAUACUGACGCUGAGGUACGAAAGCAUGGGGAGCAAACAGGAUUAGAGACCCCGGUAGUCCCUGUCUCUUAUAC
rnacentral:rRNA from 1 species